AGUUGUUGGUUGCCGUCAAUUCGGGUUGAGGCGGAAAGGACUCUGUUUGGCAUUUGGGCUAUGGUUUUGCAUAUUGAGGAUAUGGACGUAGAAGUCACGAAGAGCUUAUCUAGUUGUUGUCGUGAUGUUUGUAUUGCUUUAGUUAUUAUAUAUUGUUCCCUCGCUUUUAUCUUUAUACUUUAUGUAAGAGGGAUAGGAAUUGUAUUGGUUAAUGCUUGUAAAGUUAUUAUAUAUAUGUAUGUACUCUU